CCUACGGGUGGCAGCAGUGAGGAAUAUUGGUCAAUGGACGCAAGUCUGAACCAGCCAUGCCGCGUGCAGGAAGACGGCUCUAUGAGUUGUAAACUGCUUUUGUACGAGGGUAAACGCAGAUACGCGUAUCUGUCUGAAAGUAUCGUACGAAUAAGGAUCGGCUAACUCCGUGCCAGCAGCCGCGGUAAUACGGAGGAUUCAAGCGUUAUCCGGAUUUAUUGGGUUUAAAGGGUGCGUAGGCGGUCGGAUAAGUUAGAGGUGAAAUCCCGAGGCUGAACCUCGGAAUUGCCUCUGAUACGGUUCGGCUAGAGAGUAGAUGCAGUAGGCGGAAUGAGUGGUGUAGCGGUGAAAUGCUUAGAGAUUAUACAGAACACCGAUUGCGAAGGCAGCUUACCAAGCUGCAUCUGACGUUGAGGCACGAAAGCGUGGGGAGCGAACAGGAUUAGAUACCCGGGUAGUC
rnacentral:rRNA from 1 species